rnacentral:rRNA from 1 species
UACGUAGGGUGCAAGCGUUGUCCGGAAUUAUUGGGCGUAAAGAGCUCGUAGGUGGCCUGUCGCGUCGGCUGUGAAAACUCGGGGCUCAACUCCGAGCUUGCAGUCGAUACGGGCAGACUAGAGUAUGGCAGGGGAGACUGGAAUUCCUGGUGUAGCGGUGAAAUGCGCAGAUAUCAGGAGGAACACCGGUGGCGAAGGCGGGUCUCUGGGCCGUAACUGACGCUGAGGAGCGAAAGCGUGGGGAGCGAACAGG